rnacentral:rRNA from 1 species
GACGAACGCUGGCGGCGUGCCUAACACAUGCAAGUCGAGCGGGUUGAAGCGAGGGGUAACUCGAGUUUCUACCUAGCGGCGGACGGGUGAGUAACGCGUGGGCAACCUGCCUCAAGGACUGGGAUAACAGCUCGAAAGGGCUGCUAAUACCGGAUAAGCCUAUGGGCCUCGCAUGGGGCCAUGAGCAAAGGGGAAACCCGCCUUGAGAUGGGCCCGCGUCCCAUCAGCUAGUUGGUGAGGUGAAGGCUCACCAAGGCGACGACGGGUAGCCGGCCUGAGAGGGUGACCGGCCACACUGGGACUGAGACACGGCCCAGACUCCUACGGGGGGCAGCAGUGGGGAAUCUUGCACAAUGGGCGAAAGCCUGAUGCAGCGACGCCGCGUGAGCGAAGAAGGCCUUCGGGUUGUAAAGCUCUGUCUGGAGGGACGAAGGAAGUGACGGUACCUCCGGAGGAAGCCACGGCUAACUACGUG